GUCAGGAUGGCCGAGCGGUCUAAGGCGCCAGACUCAAGGUUACCUUGCCUGUUGUGAACAGGUUGAUGUGCGUUCUGGUCCUCUCUGAGGGCGUGGGUUCGAAUCCCACUUCUGACA
rfam:Papilio xuthus contig17288, whole genome shotgun sequence.